CGUAUUUGGGUGAUUGCACUAGUUUGUGGUGCACUGCUUAUAUUAAUCUUACCUGUGAUUUCCUGGAAAUUGUGGUCAUGGCAUACAAAUGCAAUCACAAUAGAGGAAGCAACAGAAAUAACAACAGACCUCACUGCAAAUGACAGCGUUGUUCUGCUGGGCAAUGAAUGGACAAAUGCUUCAGUUGUGCAGUUUAGCACAGACUCAAAAACUGUCCUAAUAAUGUAACCUGUUGUGACUUCUGGAAGACAAAGAUGGAAGAGCCUUUAUCCUUUCACAUUGUGCCAAGAGCCACUCUCCUGCAGAGUUUAGCUACAACACUAUUUAGUUAUACCUGAAUUAACUAAUCAAUGUAUUUGAGUUGACUUGAAAAUGACAGCCAGGUGUGUUGGAACUAAACUUUGCAGGUAAGUGACUCUCUUGAAGCAUGAA